rnacentral:rRNA from 1 species
AGGGAAUCUUCCGCAAUGGACGAAAGUCUGACGGAGCAACGCCGCGUGAGCGAUGAAGGUCUUCGGAUCGUAAAGCUCUGUUGUCAGGGAAGAACAAGUACGAGAGUAACUGCUCGUACCUUGACGGUACCUGACCAGAAAGCCACGGCUAACUACGUGCCAGCAGCCGCGGUAAUACGUAGGUGGCAAGCGUUGUCCGGAAUUAUUGGGCGUAAAGGGCUCGCAGGCUGUUCCUUAAGGCUGAUGUGAAAGCUUGCGGCUUAACCGUAAGCGGUCAUUGGAAACUGGGGGACUUGAGUGCAGAAGAGGAGAGUGGAAUUCCACGUGUAGCGGUGAAAUGCGUAGAGAUGUGGAGGAACACCAGUGGCGAAGGCGGCUCUCUGGUCUGUAACUGACGCUGAGGAGCGAAAGCGUGGGGAGCAAAC